ACCCACGACGCUCACGGGGAUCACUGCUGGAGCCUUUUUUUAUUGUUAAACCCAUCGGUCCACCAAAAAAACAAAAACAAAAAAAAAAAACACUGAUGUUCAACAUUCUGGUGAAAUGGCUGUAUUUGCGUUCUUGCCGAGAGUUAGAUGAGAAGAAGGUGGAUACCGCGCUCUCGUGUCUGUACGGGUAAAGAUGCUAGCUUAGCUUAGCAACAAAGACCGGAAACAAGCGGGGUAGAUCGUACGGAGGGGGGGGGGGGGGGAAAUCACGUUGGGUUAAAAAACGAUGACUAUUUACAGGGAGUUGUGUGUGGGACAGUUUUUCCAGGAAGCUACUGCUGAGAAAUAGCUCGACACAUAACCACCCCCCUCCCCCCCAACCCUCGACACACACACACACACACUAAAACGGCAAGCUCCUGUUUUUACACUGGAUUAAACAACGAUAUAUAUGACGUGUACAUUCACCUUGGACAGAGCCAGGCAAGCCGUUUCACCUGUUUCCGGUCGUUAUGCUAAGCUAAGCUAAAUGGAGCUUAAUAUCGAUAUGUAAUAUGUCAUUGAUCUUCUCAUCUACCUCGCUUGGCAAGAAAGCAAUUCAUCG